AUUGAACGCUGGCGGCAGGCCUAACACAUGCAAGUCGACCGAGUGGCGGACGGGUGAGUAAUGUCUGGGAAACUGCCCGAUGGAGGGGGAUAACUACUGGAAACGGUAGCUAAUACCGCAUACCAUCGGAAUUGCCCAGAUGGGAUUAGCUUGUAGGUGAGGUAACGGCUAACCUAGGCGACGAUCCCUAUCUGGUCUGAGAGGAUGACCAGCCACACGUGAACUGAGACACGGGCCGUACUCCUACGGGAGGCAGCAGUGGGGAAUAUUGCACAAUGGGCGCAAGCAUGAUGCAGUCAUGCCGCGUGUAUGAAGAAGGCCGUCGGGUUGUAAAGUACUUUCAGCGGUGAGGCGGGACCCGCAGAAGAAGCACCGGCUAACUCCGUGCCAGCAGCCGCGGUAAUUC
rnacentral:rRNA from 1 species